AGAGCGGAACGCGUGGACGGCAGGCCUAAUACAUGCAAGUCGAACGGACCCUUCGGGGUUAGUGGCGGACGGGUGAGUAACACGUGGGAACGUGCCCUUUGGUUCGGAACAACUCAGGGAAACUUGAGCUAAUACCGAAUGUGCCCCCAUCCUUAAACAAGAUGGGUGGGAAAGAUUUAUCGCCAUUGGAGCGGCCCGCGUCUGAUUAGCUAGUUGGUGAGGUAAAGGCUCACCAAGGCGACGAUCAGUAGCUGGUCUGAGAGGAUGAUCAGCCACACUGGGACUGAGACACGGCCCAGACUCCUACGGGAGGCAGCAGUAGGGAAUCUUGCGCAAUGGGCGAAAGCCUGACGCAGCCAUGCCGCGUGAAUGAUGAAGGUCUUAGGAUUGUAAAAUUCUUUCAGCGGGGACGAUAAUGACGGUACCCGCAGAAGAAGCCCCGGCUAACUUCGUGCCAGCAGCCGC
rnacentral:rRNA from 1 species